CCUGGAGGAUUUCGCUUUCGCUUUCCUGCUGCUGUCGUUGAGGAAAAUAAAACGGCCGUGGCCAGGGCAGACGCAGCUGCUGUUCCGGGCGAGGGGCGCAGAAGGGACCCCGAGCCUUGCGCCGCGGCGCGCGCCGGGCGAGAUGGCAGCACGCCCUGGGCCUCUCUGCACUGUCCUGAAGGUGGACAGUAGAGAAACAAGAAAAUGGACUCCCUUUUCCUGGAGACCUGACUGAAUGCCAGCCACCGGUGCUAUAAUGAAGAAGACACCGCCAUUGGAGUAAAAGCACUGAGCUUGGAGAGAAUUGAUCACCUUCCAGCUCUGCCACAAAUCCCCUGUGACCAUGGGUGAGUUACUUGACCUCUCCAAGCCUCAGCUACCUUAUCAGUGAAAUGGGGUUAACAGUUUAUCCCUCAGAGGCAUGACAGACUCAAAUAGGGUCACCACACUGUGCAACUCCAGGGGGUGUUGUCCCUAUUUUAGUCUAAGCAGCCUCUAGUGGCCUGAGAUUAAAUGAGAGCAUUUUUGUGAUG
rnacentral:lncRNA from 1 species